GUUCAGGCUCUUUGACUGAGUCAGGCGGUUCUGCCACCAACUCUUCCGCCGAGUCACUCAACGACUUCAACACCGGGAAAAAUAUCUCCUUUUCCGCCACCACAUCCGCCACUGCAAUCAUGGGGACAUCGUCCAAGUCCGGUGAAGGGUCUUCAAGCUUAUCCGGGUCGGGUAGGAAGGGAAGGGCUAGUGGAAUGGUGCAAGGGGCUUAGCCUCCAAGGUGUCAAGUAGAAGGGUGUAAAGUGGAUCUAAGCGAUGCUAAGGCUUACUCUCUUCUGUCAAAUCGAACAUGGGACUCCAAAAACCAGGCUUCAAGUUUCGGGGAGAGAUUGAAUCUUAAAACAGCUAAUGAGUACAACUAUCUAGGCCAGAGUGAGUGCUUGGUGAUUAAUGGUGUUAAUGAUGCUCAGAAAUUCCAAAAGCUUACGGAAGCCAUGAACAUUGUUCAAAUUU